rnacentral:rRNA from 1 species
AGAGUUUGAUCAUGGCUCAGAACGAACGCUGGCGGCGUGCUUAACACAUGCAAGUCGCGUGCGCAGUUUCCGUAGCAAUACGGAGAUGGGCGCACGGCGCACGGGUGCGUAACACGUGGGCAAUCUGCCCUUUGAUGGGGAAUAACCCGCCGAAAGGCGGGCUAAUUCCGCAUAAGAUUCUUUGGACUUCGGUCUGGAGAUUGAAAGCAGCAAUGCGUCGAAGGAGGAGCCCGCGCCCGAUUAGCUAGUUGGUGAGGUAACGGCUCACCAAGGCUAUGAUCGGUAGCUGGUCUGAGAGGAUGAUCAGCCACACUGGAACUGAGACACGGUCCAGACUCCUACGGGAGGCAGCAGUGGGGAAUCUUGCACAAUGGGCGAAAGCCUGAUGCAGCGACGCCGCGUGGGGGAUGAAGCAUUUCGGUGUGUAAACCCCUUUCGACUGGGAAGAAUACCUCGCAAGAGGGGUGACGGUACCAGUAGAAGAAGCCCCGGCUAACUACGUGCCAGCAGCCGCGGUAAGACGUAGGGGGCCAGCGUUGUUCGGAAUUACUGGGUGUAAAGGGUUCGUAGGCGGUGCGGCAAGUUGGGAGUGAAAUCUCUAGGCUUAACCCAGAGGCUGCUUCCAAAACUGCUGUGCUCGAGUGUGAGAGAGGCUCGUGGAAUUGCAGGUGUAGCGGUGAAAUGCGUAGAUAUCUGCAGGAACACCCGUGGCGAAAGCGGCGAGCUGGAUCACUACUGACGCUGAGGAACGAAAGCUAGGGGAGCAAACAGGAUUAGAUACCCUAGUAGUCC